UACAAAUUCUCAUGCAAAUUAUAUUGACAUAUAAGCUGCUGCUAAAGUCUUCUAAAAUAAUGGAAAACAAGGAUUUAUCGAUGGGUGACUGCUUUGUGGAUUUGGUUCCGGAAGAUAAGCAGUUGGCGGAGAUCAGUGAUGGAAACAAUCUAUGAGUGUUUGAGGUACAGAUGUUUCAGGUAAACACACAGCUGCCUUCGCAAUUUUAAGAGCUCUUGGGAGAUAGUAUGAUGAGCCUUUUUGGAAGAAAAAAAAAUGAAACAAAAAACGCUUAGCAUCUCAGCUGUUGGAAAUUUGCAUCCUUAAUACUGAUGUCAACAGAACAACCCUGAUGUACACCAGCUAAGGUUCCAGACCAUAUUUCUUAACUUGUGAUGAAUUUAUUUAACUUGAGGAGACCUUUUUUGGAAACUGUCUUAGACUGCCUUGUAACUUGCAGUUGAAUAACCUUCAGAUAAAGUGCAAUUAUGAGAUACUUCCAAUCUGAAAUGUUCUGUGUAUACUUUAUUUUUUUAAAGCAGGCAGGGAGGGAAACAGAAACAGUUGGGAAUAUA
rnacentral:lncRNA from 1 species